rnacentral:rRNA from 1 species
UACGAAGGGGGGCUAGCGUUGCUCGGGAAUCACUGGGCGUAAAGCGCACGUAGGCGGACUCUUAAGUCGGGUGUGAAAGCCCUCAGCUCAACUGAGGAAGUGCGCCCGAAACUGCAGAGCUUGAGUGCCGGAGAGGGUGGCGGAAUUUCCCCCAAGUAGAGGUGAAAAUUCGUAGAUAUGGGGGAGGAACACCGGUGGCGAAGGCGGGCCACCCUGGACGGUAACUGACGCUGGAGACGCGAAAGCGUGGGGAGCAAACAGG